rnacentral:rRNA from 1 species
CUCCGUAGGUGAACCUGCGGAGGGAUCAUUACACAAAUAUGAAGGCGGGCUGGAACCUCUCGGGGUUACAGCCUUGCUGAAUUAUUCACCCUUGUCUUUUGCGUACUUCUUGUUUCCUUGGUGGGUUCGCCCACCACCAGGACAAACAUAAACCUUUUGUAAUUGCAAUCAGCGUCAGUAACAAAUUAAUAAUUACAACUUUCAACAACGGAUCUCUUGGUUCUGGCAUCGAUGAAGAACGCAGCGAAAUGCGAUAAGUAGUGUGAAUUGCAGAAUUCAGUGAAUCAUCGAAUCUUUGAACGCACAUUGCGCCCUUUGGUAUUCCAAAGGGCAUGCCUGUUCGAGCGUCAUUUGUACCCUCAAGCUUUGCUUGGUGUUGGGCGUCUUGUCUCUAGCUUUGCUGGAGACUCGCCUUAAAGUAAUUGGCAGCCGGCCUACUGGUUUCGGAGCGCAGCACAAGUCGCACUCUCUAUCAGCAAAGGUCUAGCAUCCACUAAGCCUUUUUUUCAACUUUUGACCUCGGAUCAGGUAGGGAUACCCGCUGAACUUAAGCAUAUC